rnacentral:rRNA from 1 species
UACGUAGGGUGCGAGCGUUAAUCGGAAUUACUGGGCGUAAAGUGUGCGCAGGCGGUUGUGCAAGACAGAUGUGAAAUCCCCGGGCUCAACCUGGGAAUUGCAUUUGUGACUGCACGGCUAGAGUGUGUCAGAGGGGGGUAGAAUUCCACGUGUAGCAGUGAAAUGCGUAGAGAUGUGGAGGAAUACCGAUGGCGAAGGCAGCCCCCUGGGAUAACACUGACGCUCAUGCACGAAAGCGUGGGGAGCAAACAGG